UGAAUUUUUUUUUAAGGAUUGAAUUGAAUUAGCUAACAUAUGCAAAAGAUACCUGGCUGUGUGCCUGAUGUGUGGUGGCCAGCAAUAAUUAGUUGGAUCUAAAUUUUGGCUCAGAACCUGCCUGCUUCUUUUCCUAUUAAAAUGUUGUCCCUGAAAAAUGUAUGCAUGCCCUUGCUUCUAUCCCAGUCCACAGAGUUCACUGAAGUGUAACUUCCUAAACUGCUGAGAACAUGACAGCUGUGACUCAAAGCCUGCCAAGACACAGAGCCAGCCUAUAUGUCCCGCAGCAGAUGAAGAGAUAAAGAAAUCUGAUGAAUGAAACCACGACAUUUUUCAGAAAUAUUGAUGGAGCAGCAGGUCAUCAUGG
rnacentral:lncRNA from 1 species